UACCACCAAACCCAUGGGAAAAUCCUCAUUUGAACUUUGAAAUCUUUCUUCUACAAACUCCCUCACAUCCAUCCGAGUUUUCCAGGGUCUUCGUUUUGAAGAAAUAACUCCUAGAUGGAGAUCUGCCAUUGCCGGCCCUCUUCUUCUCCAUCGAGAAAUGAAUCGGAGAAGAGUUAGGUAUUUUAAGACCUUGCACUGAGUCGACUCAACUACCUUCCCAAGUUUGAGGUGUGUCUGGGACGAGUGAUGGCCCUAUUUGGCGUCCAAGAGAAGGAAAGAAGUUAGGUGAGAUAGGGUUGGCCAACCUUCAAGUUUGUUGCCGAUUCAGGAUCGAAAGGCUGGAGGUGUACUCGCAACUGAGUUGGGCGACGAGUUCUGUGCUGCAUUUAUGUGUGGGCUGUCUGGUCUUUCCUCGUCCAGCUCCAUUAGAGGUUCAGAUUUUGAUAUGGGCUUGAGAUUGGGCACUGAGUUGGAAUGAGUUAGCAACUAGGAAUUUAUUUUUCCCCAAAGUCGAAUUUCCCUCUCCAAUUGAACUAGGUUGAGUCAAAUCAGGUUGGGCACUCAUUACUGGACAUUACAUUUGGAAGAAAAAAGAGAGAAAUAGAGAAAGAAAAGGGAGAAGGA